UAGCACCAUCUGCUCGGGGCACCGCCUCCUGCUCCUCCUGCUGCUGCCGCCCUGAGUCACUGCCUGUGCAGCUCCGGCCUCCUGGCUCCCCAUACUAGCUGCAGAUAUUUGGAGUUCUUACAACAUGGCAGACAUUGACAGCAAACAGUCUGAACUUGAUCAAGAUUUGGAUGAUGUUGAAAGAAGUAAAAGAAAAGGAAACUGGUGAAGAAACAAAAAUCAAAGCACGUCAGCUAACUGUUCAGAUGAUGCAAAAUCCUUAGAUUCUUCUGGCUCUUCAAGAAAGACUUGAUGGUCUGGUAGAAACACCCAACAGGAUACAUUGAAAGCCUGCGUUAGGGUAGUUAAAGACCAGCGAAUGCUCUCAGAAACCUGCCAGUUAAAUGUGCACAGAGAGAAGCCAAAUUCUAUGAGGAAGUUCACGAUCUUGAAAGGAAGUAUGCCAUUCUCGAUCAGCCUCUAUUUGAUAAGCGAUUUGAGAUUAUUAAUGCAAUUUAUGAACCUACAGAAGAAGAAUGUGAAUGGAAAGCAGAUGAAGAAGAUGAGAUGUCAGAGGAUUGGAAAGAAAAGGCCAAGAUUGAAGAUGAGGAAAAAGAUGAAAAAAAAAGAAGACCCCAAAUGAAUUCCUGAAUUUUGGUUAACUGUUUUUAAGAACAUUAACUUGCUCAGUGAUAUGGUUCAGGAACAUGAUGAACCUAUUCUGAAGCACUUGAAAGAUAUUAAAGUGAAGUUCUCAGAUGCUGGCCAACCUAUGAGUUUUAUCUUAGAAUUUCAUUUUGAACCCAGUGAUAUAUUACAAAUGAAGUAUUGACAAAGACACAUAGGAUGAGGUCAGAACCAGAUGAUUCUGGUCCCUUUUCUUUUGAUGGACCAGAAAUUAUGGGUUGUACAGGGUGCCAGAUAGAUUGGAAAAAAGGAAAGAAUGUCGCUUUGAAAACUAUUAAGAAGCAGGAGAAACACAAGGGACGUGGGACAGUCGGUACUGUGAUUAAAACAGUUUCCAGCAACUCUUUAACUUUUUUGGCCCUCCUAAAGUUCCUCAGAGUGGAGAUCUGGAUGAUGAUGCCGAAGCUGUCUUUGCUGCCGACUUCAAAAUUGGUCACUUCGUACAUAAGCGUAUAAUCCCAAGAUUAGUGUUAUACUUUACUGGAGAAGCUAUUGAAGAUGAUGAUGAUGAUUAUGAUUAAGAAGGUGAAGAAGUGGAUGAGGAAGGCGGAGAAGAAGGAGAUGAGAAAAAUGAUCCAGAUUAUGACCCAAAGAAGGAUCAAAACCCAGCAGAGUGCAAGCAGCAGUGAAACAGGAUGUAUG